rnacentral:rRNA from 1 species
UACGUAGGGCGCGAGCGUUGUCCGGAUUUAUUGGGCGUAAAGAGCUCGUAGGCGGCCUGUUGCGUCCGCUGUGAAAUCCCAGGGCUCAACCCUGGGGCGUGCAGUGGAUACGGGGCAGGGCUGGAGGCAGGCAGGGGAGAACGGAAUUCCCGGUGUAGCGGGUGAAAAUGCGCAGAUAUCGGGGAGGAACACCGGUGGCGAAGGCG